rnacentral:rRNA from 1 species
GUAGGUGGCAAGCGUUGUCCGGAAUUAUUGGGCGUAAAGCGCGCGCAGGCGGUUCUUUAAGUCUGAUGUGAAAGCCCACGGCUCAACCGUGGAGGGUCAUUGGAAACUGGAGAACUUGAGUACAGAAGAGGAAAGCGGAAUUCCACGUGUAGCGGUGAAAUGCGUAGAGAUGUGGAGGAACACCAGUGGCGAAGGCGGCUUUCUGGUCUGUAACUGACGCUGAGGCGCGAAAGCGUGGGGAGCAAACAGGGAUUAGAUACCUGGUAGUCCACGCCGUAAACGAUGAGUGCUAAGUGUUAGGGGGGGUUUCCGCCCCCUUAGUGCUGCAGCUAACGCAUUAAGCACUCCGCCUGGGGAGUACGGCCGCAAGGCUG